rnacentral:tRNA from 1 species
GCACACUUAGCUCAGUGGUUAGAGCACCCUUCUAGAUUUUGGGUAAAAUAAGUCAUGGGUUUGAAUCCCAUAGUGCACA